rnacentral:rRNA from 1 species
UACAGAGGGUGCGAGCGUUAAUCGGAAUUACUGGGCGUAAAGCGCGCGUAGGCGGCUUUGCAAGUCGGGUGUGAAAUCCCCAGGCUUAACCUGGGAACUGCAUUCGAGACUGCAUUGCUAGAGUAUGGGAGAGGGAAGUGGAAUUUCCGGUGUAGCGGUGAAAUGCGUAGAUAUCGGAAGGAACAUCAGUGGCGAAGGCGGGUCUCUGGGCCGUUACUGACGCUGAGGAGCGAAAGCGUGGGGAGCGAACAGG